GUGAGCUGAAGCAAUGAAGCCCUGGGCCGGCUGCAUCAACGCCAGGAGGUGAAUGGGCGAACACAUGAAUCCGUCUAGAAUCACCCUGUCUCCAUAUCUGCCCUGGCAUAGCUACUGGCUAGUGUGGCUGCUUUUCUAGGGCAGUUAGAAGUUCAAAGUCACCUCUCAGGAGCCAUCCAUCCCAUCAGGAGGAAUCCAGCAGCAGCAGAAGGAGCAGUGGCCUGAGAAUGAUGGUGCUCUGUUUCCAGCACCUCCUCCACUUUCAACUGCUCCAAGACCUUAACUUCCUCUCUCUGGAUCUCAGCUUUUGCAAAACAAACAGGGGACCUGUAACAAACAUUGUGUUUGCUGUGGUACCAAGACUGCUCCUGUGUAGUAUCAGCUGCCACCAGUUUUGACCCUCUUCUCUGGGGCAAUUCUCUAUGAAACAUGGGAUAUGCACCAGCAUGCAUGGACAGCACGUGCGAUUUCUAUAUCCAUAAAUUGUGGGCUGUUCGGAGCCAGUCAUCUAUCAAGUUAUGUUUGCACUGGGAUAAAGACCAACCUGUGAAAUAUUACUUUAAAUAAACAGCAGAAAAGCUUUUGGGAAAGAAGUUUUUUGAGGAAUAGAACUUGUGCACUCUGCUUUAGCUUAUAUCCUCCUGAUUCCCAAUGCCCUUUCUGGGAACUGAAUAAAGGAAAUCAAACCCUGUUUAGCCCCAGAGGAGGCAUUUGGAGCAACCUG